GAUGAACGCUGGCGGCGUGCCUAAUACAUGCAAGUCGAGCGAACAGACGAGGAGCUUGCUCCUCUGACGUUAGCGGCGGACGGGUGAGUAACACGUGGAUAACCUACCUAUAAGACUGGGAUAACUUCGGGAAACCGGAGCUAAUACCGGAUAAUAUAUUGAACCGCAUGGUUCAAUAGUGAAAGACGGUUUUGCUGUCACUUAUAGAUGGAUCCGCGCCGCAUUAGCUAGUUGGUAAGGUAACGGCUUACCAAGGCAACGAUGCGUAGCCGACCUGAGAGGGUGAUCGGCCACGCUGGAGGUGAGACGGGGUGCAGGCUCCUGCGGGAGGCAGCAGUAGGGAAUCUUCCGCAAUGGGGGAAAGCUUGACGGAGGAACGGCGCGUGAGUGAUGAAGGUCUUCGGAUCGUAAAACUCUGUUAUUAGGGAAGAACAAAUGUGUAAGUAACUAUGCACGUCUUGACGGUACCUAAUCAGAAAGCCACGGCUAACUACGUG
rnacentral:rRNA from 1 species